UACGUAGGGUGCAAGCGUUGUCCGGAAUUAUUGGGCGUAAAGAGCUCGUAGGCGGUUUGUCGCGUUUGCUGUGAAAACGCGAGGCUCAACCUCGCGCCUGCAGUGGGUACGGGCAGACUAGAGUGCGGUAGGGGAGAUUGGAAUUCCUGGUGUAGCGGUGGAAUGCGCAGAUAUCAGGAGGAACACCGAUGGCGAAGGCAGAUCUCUGGGCCGUAACUGACGCUGAGGAGCGAAAGCGUGGGGAGCGAACAGG
rnacentral:rRNA from 1 species